AUUGAACGCUGGCGGCAUGCUUUACACAUGCAAGUCGAACGGUAACAGGCCUUCGGGCGCUGACGAGUGGCGAACGGGUGAGUAAUGCAUCGGAACGUGCCCAGUCGUGGGGGAUAACGCAGCGAAAGCUGUGCUAAUACCGCAUACGAUCUAUGGAUGAAAGCGGGGGACCGUAAGGCCUCGCGCGAUUGGAGCGGCCGAUGUCAGAUUAGGUAGUUGGUGGGGUAAAGGCUCACCAAGCCGACGAUCUGUAGCUGGUCUGAGAGGACGACCAGCCACACUGGGACUGAGACACGGCCCAGACUCCUACGGGAGGCAGCAGUGGGGAAUUUUGGACAAUGGGCGCAAGCCUGAUCCAGCAAUGCCGCGUGCAGGAAGAAGGCCUUCGGGUUGUAAACUGCUUUUGUACGGAACGAAAAGGCUCUGGUUAAUACCUGGGGCUCAUGACGGUACCGUAAGAAUAAGCACCGGCUAACUACGUGCCAGCAGCCGCCGUAACAC
rnacentral:rRNA from 1 species